rnacentral:lncRNA from 1 species
UAUAAAUUAGAGAAACAAAGUAACAAAAAUUUUAAUGAGUCACAUAAUGGAAAAAUAAAAUAUACGCUAAACUAUAAAUGGGCAAGGUGCAAUUUUUCGAACUAUAGAAUGAUAAAGUAAAAAUGAGCUAAAUUACAGAGAGGAACAAUGAAACUUUUUAAACCAUAUGGUCGCAAAUUGCGGGUGUGUAUAAAAAUUUAUAUUCUUAAAAUUUAAUUAAACAGAAAUGAUUUGAAACAUAUAGGAGGUUUUUAUACAGAUUUGUGUAUAUUCUCUAAAAUACUAUAAU